CACGUAGGGGGCAAGCGUUGUCCGGAUUUAUUGGGCGUAAAGAGCUCGUAGGUGGUUCGGUAAGUCGGGUGUUAAACCCCCAGGCUCAACCUGGGGACGCCACUCGAUACUGCUGUGACUAGAGUCCGGUAGGGGAGCGUGGAAUUCCUGGUGUAGCGGUGAAAUGCGCAGACAUCAGGAGGAACACCAGCGGCGAAGGCGGCGCUCUGGGCCGGUACUGACACUGAGGAGCGAAAGCGUGGGUAGCAAACAGG
rnacentral:rRNA from 1 species